CUGAAAUGUUUGUGGUGGAACAGACGU
rnacentral:misc_RNA from 1 species